UGGGGGGAAUGAAUUAAAGUGUGAAUGAGUUUUUUUUUUUAUCCCGAAUUUCAUGUCGGUGAUGAAUAAAUUAAAUGAAGAGGUUUCUAGAAUACUUAUUUUUCUCUUCUUAGCUUAAGUUAAAUUUACAAUAAAAGUAUCAAUUAAAUAAAUAAAAGCUUAAUAUUUCUAAAGAUUUGAUUUCGAGAGGUUGGACCUGCUUUUUUCUGACGAACCCUUAUGCCGGAAGGCCAUGAUUCCCGGUGAUGCAUAUUAUUUUGAUUCAUUUCGUUCACUAGCUGAGCAGCCAGACUCUAUGGUUUAGAGUCAAGUGAUCUGAUGGAAAAGAGCUCCUCUCAUAAGCACGGACAAAUCAUUCCACCAAAUCUAGUCAACUCGUAACCAAAAGAGAGCUGCAACAGCGAGAACUCCUGACCAAGACCUAUUUCCUUCGUAGCUAGACUCUAUAAUUGAACGGUUUGUGAUCUGGUGGAAAAGAGUUCCUCUCGUCAGAACGGACAAAUCAUUCCACCAAAUCAGUCCACCGCUGAAUUAAAAGAGAGCUACUUGAUGUAGAACCCAUUAUCCUUACCUGUUAGGUAACCAGACUCAAUUACGGAAAGGUGAGUGAUUUCGCGGAAAAGAGUUCCUCUCAUAAGAACGGACAAAUCAUUCCGCCAAAUCUGUUCACCCUUCGGUAAAAAGAGAGUUACCGCAUCCCGACGUAUUCCAUUCAGGUGGCCAGACUCUAUUGCUGAAUGGUUUGUGAUUUAGCGGAAAAGAGUUCCUCUCAUAAGAACGGACAAAUCAUUCCCCCAAAUCUAUUCACCAUUCAGUGAAAAGAGAGCUACCGUGGUCCAUUCUAUUCUAAUAGCCAGACUCUAUCAAUGAGAGUUAAGUGAUUUUGCGAAAUAGAGCUCCUCUCAUUGGAACGGAAAAAUCAAUUCGCCAAAUCAAUCUAACUCUAAUUGAAAAGAGAGCUACUAGGACAAAUUCCUUGACUUUGACUUCCCUCAAUCAAAAAAAAAAAUAUAUUAAUUUUUUUUACUCGAGGUGGGGGAUGAAUGUAACCUGCCAAAUUGCUUACAUUAGAAAUUUACCUAAAUUUAAUAUACAUAAUUAAUUAUUCAUAAAAUUCUACUUACUAUUUACCUACUAUUGCUCUAAAAUAUUAAAACUGAAAUGAACUUAAAAGUAACGGAAUUGAAAUAAAACUAAUCGAAUAUUAAAAUACGGAAACCAUCUUGCCCAUCCCUAUUCCUAUCCCGCAUCACACCCGUAACGCACCUUUGACAUCGACUGUCUGCGCGACAGUUUACCACUACUUCCGCACUCUCGUUGAUGAACACGAAAAGAAAGCAGCGGUAAAAGUCAACCGACGAACGAGCGGUCUCUACUAGUGAAGUGCGGUGAACGAGCAGCAAGUCGGCCAUUGGUGGAAUAAAGUGGAAGCAGGUGGUCGUAUCGACGCUAAAAUCUCGGAUAGUUCUCGUCGUUGGAACGAGGCCGGCGAAAUCGAAUUGGCAUUCUGUGGCGCACGGAAACGUCUUGUCACCGGUUGUCCCAAUUGCGGCAGCGGAUUAGUGAGUCUCUCUGGUCGCGGGAUGACAAAGCCUCGUGUGUCGAUCCCUUGUAAUGGCGGAAGCAUGCCCCUUUGGAAGUACCAGGAGCGAACGAGAAGAGCCGACGAUUCCUACUGAUGUCCCGCGGAUCCAUCCCUCGUGGCCCGGCGCGAAUAAUGCCGGAGUGCUAAAGGUGUGUAAUAUUACCCAUUCCAUUUUAUAUUCCUGAUCAACAUCCGAUCCAAAAACGAAUAAUUAAAACUAUUUAAAAUGCAACCAUAAAA